rnacentral:rRNA from 1 species
UACGGAGGGUGCAAGCGUUAAUCGGAAUUACUGGGCGUAAAGGGCUCGUAGGCGGCCAACUAAGUCAGACGUGAAAUCCCUCGGCUUAACCGGGGAACUGCGUCUGAUACUGGAUGGCUUGAGAUUGGGAGAGGGAUGCGGAAUUCCAGGUGUAGCGGUGAAAUGCGUAGAUAUCUGGAGGAACACCGGUGGCGAAGGCGGCAUCCUGGACCAAUAUUGACGCUGAGGAGCGAAAGCCAGGGGAGCAAACGGG